GUGGGGAAUCUUAGACAAUGGGGGAAACCCUGAUCUAGCCAUGCCGCGUGAUCGAUGAAGGCCUUAGGGUUGUAAAGAUCUUUCAGCUGGGAAGAUAAUGACUGUACCAGCAGAAGAAGCCCCGGCUAACUCCGUGCCAGCAGCCGCGGUAAUACGGAGGGGGCUAGCGUUGUUCGGAAUUACUGGGCGUAAAGCGCACGUAGGCGGACUGGAAAGUCAGGGGUGAAAUCCCGGGGCUCAACCCCGGAACUGCCUUUGAAACUCCCAGUCUUGAGUUCGAGAGAGGUGAGUGGAAUUCCGAGUGUAGAGGUGAAAUUCGUAGAUAUUCGGAGGAACACCAGUGGCGAAGGCGGCUCACUGGCUCGAUACUGACGCUGAGGUGCGAAAGCGUGGGGAGCAAACAGGAUUAGAUACCCGUGUAGUCC
rnacentral:rRNA from 1 species